rnacentral:rRNA from 1 species
UACGAAGGGGGCUAGCGUUGUUCGGAAUCACUGGGCGUAAAGGGCGCGUAGGUGGCGACCCAAGUCGAUGGUGAAAGCUCGCCGCUCAACGGCGAGUCGGCCACCGAUACUGGGUUGCUGGAGCACUGUAGAGGCUCAUGGAAUUCCGGGUGUAGCGGUGGAAUGCGUAGAGAUCCGGAAGAACACCGGUGGCGAAGGCGGUGAGCUGGGCAGUUGCUGACACUGAGGCGCGACAGCGUGGGGAGCAAACAGGG